UGACUCCUUCCUGGUCCAGUACAAGGAUGCAGAUGGCCAACUCCAAGCAUUGCCUGUGGAGGGCGGCUCCCAUGAAGUGACUGUGACCAACCUGGCUCCUUCCCGCAGAUACAAGUUCAACCUCUAUGGAGUCUCCGGGCGCAAACGCUCCAGCCCCCUUUCCACUGAUGCCACCACAGCCAGCCUUACAGACUCAGAGGAGGCAACUCCUGUCCAACCCAGCCUGGGGGAGCUCUCAGUCCUUGAUGUCACAAACGAUUCUGUCCGUCUCUACUGGACCGUCCACACCGGCAGCUUUGACUCCUUCCUGGUCCAGUACAAGGAUGCAGAUGGCCAACCCCAGGUGUUGCCUGUGGAGGGAGAUUCCCGCGAAGUGACUGUGACCAGCCUGGUUCCUUCACGCAGAUAUAAGUUCAACCUCUAUGGAGUCUCCGGGCGCAAACGCUCUAGCCCCCUCUCCACUGAUGCCACCACAGCUCCCCUUACAGACCCAGAGGAGGCAAUUUCUGUCCAACCCAGCCUGGGGGAGCUCUCAGUCCUUGAU